AACUUUUAACCUCACCGAACUGGAUGAAUUCUCUCAUUUUGGUCCAAAAUUUGCUGUUUUUUUUUUAAUUUACACAUUUAAUUGUUUAAUGUUAUUUAUUAUUUUUUAUGGCAAUACUCUGUAUUUUGUUUUCUUUUAAUUUGUAGUGAAGUUGUGAUGCAUCCCUCAUCCUCUCGUGAUUCCAGUGUCUGCUACUGUUACUCAUUACAACUCUGCUCUAGUCUCUUAACUCUCCUGUUAACCAUAUGGCCUACAUUUCACAAGCAGCAAAGUAUUGAAAGCAUAAUUGUGCAACGUUUGGCAGAAUCUCUGUCAGUAAGCUUCAGUGAGGCCGGUCACUAUCAGACAACAGACAAGAAUAGCUGGUGACAGAAAAUGGAGGAGACGAGCUGUCUUCUCGUCACGCUGCUGGUCUUGUGCUUGCGGGACAGGAUGUGGUGAACUCAGGGUCUGACCAGGUCACAGGACCCUGCUCGACUCCAUUCUCUCUGAUAUUUGACAAGCACGACACACAAAAUAUGUUUGUGUGGGGACAUGGGCUCAAACAUGCUUUUGUUUGAGCAACGUCAUCUUUGAUCAGACAGGACCUGGUCCCCAACCCUGCCUUUACCAUACCUGUUACUCCAACAUGACUCUGGGUGUGGAGCCAGCACGAUGACAAAAGAGCCGCCGCCACCACCCAACCACUCAGUAUGGAAACUAUGUGAUCCCUCAGUGGCA